CUGCGAAAAAAAAUUGGCUGUCCAAGAACGAAUUGUGCCCACCGCCGUCGACAACUUUAGGUUGAAAUAAUUGAACCUGGGCUCGAUUCUCAGUUCAACCCCAUGGCUAAUGAAGAGGAAUUUCGCAAGGUUGCCCGUAGGCGUGAGGAGAUGACAUCCGUCUUGAUUUUUGCUAGAGGAGAUAUUAAGGAACUACCAAAUUAAUAUGUUUGCCGUGUUGAAGAUGCGAUAGGGUAUACUCCGGUCCGCAAGUUUCUACCCAAUUGAGGUACAAACGGGCUUGAUUAUCGCAUGUUUCCUACUUCACAAUUUCAUUCGUAGUCAAAUGCCGAUUGAUCUGAUCGAGACGGAGUUGGGCAACCAAGACGACAAUGAGGCCGAAACGGAUCCUGAACAAGCGGUUGGUGACCAAGAGGUUGGUGAUCAUAUCAACUGUGUGGAACCUUCGGGAAGGAGAACAA